AGCGUGGAGACAGGUGGUGCAUGGCUGUCGUCAGCUCGUGUCGUGAGAUGUUGGGUUAAGUCCCGCAACGAGCGCAACCCUCACCCCUUGUUGCCAUCAGGUCACGCUGGGCACUCUAGGGGAACUGCCCCGGUCAACGGGGAGGAAGGUGGGGACGACGUCAAGUCAUCAUGCCCCUUACAUCCUGGGCUACACACGUGCUACAAUGGCCGGUACAAAGGGAUGCAAGACCGUGAGGUGGAGCUAAACCCAAAAAGCCGGUCUAAGUUCAGAUUGGAGUCUGCAACUCGACUCCAUGAAGGAGGAAUCGCUAGUAAUCGCGCAUCAGCACGGCGCGGUGAAUACGUUCCCGGGCCUUGUACACACCGCCCGUCACACCACGAAAGCCAGCUGUACUCGAAGUCGCUGAG
rnacentral:rRNA from 1 species